rnacentral:rRNA from 1 species
AUUGAACGCUGGCGGCAUGCUUUACACAUGCAAGUCGAACGGUAACAGGCCGCAAGGUGCUGACGAGUGGCGAACGGGUGAGUAAUGCAUCGGAACGUGCCCAGUCGUGGGGGAUAACGCAGCGAAAGCUGCGCUAAUACCGCAUACGAUCUCUGGAUGAAAGCGGGGGACCGAAAGGCCUCGCGCGAUUGGAGCGGCCGAUGUCAGAUUAGGUAGUUGGUGGGGUAAAGGCCCACCAAGCCAACGAUCUGUAGCUGGUCUGAGAGGACGACCAGCAACACUGGGACUGAGACACGGCCCAGACUCCUACGGGAGGCAGAAGUGGGGAAUUUUGGACAAUGGGCGCAAGCCUGACCCAGCAAUGCCGAGUGCAGGAAGAAGGCCUUCGGGUUGUAAACUGCUUUUGUACGGAACGAAACGGUCCGGGUUAAUACCCUGGGCUAAUGACGGUACCGUAAGAAUAAGCACCGGCUAACUACGUGCCAGCCGCCGCCGUAACAC